rnacentral:rRNA from 1 species
UACGAAGGGGGCUAGCGUUGCUCGGAAUUACUGGGCGUAAAGCGCACGUAGGCGGAUUGUUAAGUCGGGGGUGAAAUCCUGGAGCUCAACUCCAGAACUGCCUUCGAUACUGGCGAUCUAGAGUCCGGGAGAGGUGAGUGGAACUGCGAGUGUAGAGGUGAAAUGCGCAGAUAUCAGGAGGAACACCAGCGGCGAAGGCGGCGCUCUGGGCCGGAACUGACGCUGAGGAGCGAAAGCGUGGGUAGCAAACAGG